UACGUAGGGGGCAAGCGUUGUCCGGAAUCAUUGGGCGUAAAGAGCGUGUAGGCGGUCUGGUAGGUCCGCUGUGAAAACUCGAGGCUCAACCUCGAGACGCCGGUGGAAACCAUCAGACUAGAGUCCGGAAGAGGAGAGCGGAAUUCCUGGUGUAGCGGUGAAAUGCGCAGAUAAUCAGGAAGAACACCCGUGGCUAAGGCGGCUCUCUAGUACGGUACUGACGCUGAGACGCGAAAGCGUGGGGAGCAAACAGG
rnacentral:rRNA from 1 species